rnacentral:rRNA from 1 species
UGCGAAGGCGGGGCAAUUAGUCAGUGGUGAAAUCCUGCGGCUUAACCGUAGAACUGCCAUUGAUACUGUUGCUCUUGAGUAUAGUUGAGGUGGGCGGAAUGUGUAAUGUAGCGGUGAAAUGCAUAGAGAUUACACAGAACACCAAUUGCGAAGGCAGCUCACUAAGCUAUAACUGACGCUGAGGCACGAAAGCGUGGGGAGCGAACAGGAUUAGAUACCCUGGUAGUCC